rnacentral:rRNA from 1 species
AGAGCGAACGCUGGCGGCAGGCCUAACACAUGCAAGUCGAGCGGCCGUAGCAAUACGGCAGCGGCAGACGGGAGAGUAACACGUGGGAACGCGCCCUUCGGUUCGGAAUAACUCAGGGAAACUUGGGCUAAUACCGGAUACGCCCUUACGGGGAAAGAUUUAUUGCCGAAGGAACGGCCCGCGUCCGAUUAGCUUGUUGGUGAGGUAACGGCUCACCAAGGCGACGAUCGGUAGCUGGUCUGAGAGGAUGACCAGCCUCACUGGGACUGAGACACGGCCCAGACUCCUACGGGAGGCAGCAGUGGGGAAUAUUGGACAAUGGGCGCAAGCCUGAUCCAGCCAUGCCGCGUGGGUGAUGAAGGCCCUAGGGUUGUAAAGCCCUUUCGGCGGGGAAGAUAAUGACGGUACCGCAGAAGAAGCCCCGGCUAACUUCGCGCCAGCAGCCGC